GACGAACGCUGGCGGCGUGCUUAACACAUGCAAGUCGAGCGAUGAAAUCCCUUCGGGGAUGGAUUAGCGGCGGACGGGUGAGUAACACGUGGGCAACCUGCCUCAAAGUGGGGGAUAGCCUUCCGAAAGGGAGAUUAAUACCGCAUAACAUUAGUAAUUCACAUGAAAUACUAAUUAAAGGAGUAAUCCGCUUUGAGAUGGGCCCGCGGCGCAUUAGCUAGUUGGUGAGGUAACGGCUCACCAAGGCCACGAUGCGUAGCCGACCUGAGAGGGUGAUCGGCCACAUUGGAACUGAGACACGGUCCAGACUCCUACGGGAGGCAGCAGUGGGGAAUAUUGCACAAUGGGCGAAAGCCUGAUGCAGCAACGCCGCGUGAGUGAUGAAGGCCUUCGGGUUGUAAAGCUCUGUCUUUGGGGACGAUAAUGACGGUACCCAAGGAGGAAGCCACGGCUAACUACGUG
rnacentral:rRNA from 1 species